GAUUAACGCUGGCGGCGUGCAUAACACAUGCAAGUCGAACGAUGAAACUCAUUAGAUUUCUUCGGAAUGAAAAUGAAUGGAUUAGUGGCGAACGGGUGAGUAACGCGUGAGUAACCUGCCUUACACAAGGGGAUAGCCUCUGGAAACGGAGAAUAAUACCCUAUGAAACCAGACAAUCGAAUGAUACUCUGUUAAAAUUGUUUAUUGGUGUAAGAUGGACUUGCGUCUGAUUAGCUAGUUGGUGGGAUAAAAGCUCACCAAGGCAACGAUCAGUAGCCGGAUUGAGAGAGUGUACGGCCACAUUGGGACUGAGACACGGCCCAGACUCCUACGGGAGGCAGCAGUGGGGAAUUUUGCACAAUGGGGGAAACCCUGAUGCAGCGACGCCGCGUGAUUUAGAAGGCCUUCGGGUUGUAAAAAUCUUUUGUAUAGGAAGAAAAUGACAGUACUAUACGAAUAAGGUCCGGCUAAUUACGUG
rnacentral:rRNA from 1 species